rnacentral:tRNA from 1 species
GGAUAUAGCUCAGUGGUAGAGCAUGUGCUUAGGAUGCAUGAGGUCCUGGGUUUAAUCCCCAGUACCUCCA